rnacentral:lncRNA from 1 species
UAUAAUCAACAACAAAUGAUAUUAAAUCAACAAACAAUAUCACUAUAGUGAUCUUAAGGGAUCUAUCUCAAAUCUCCUUUAAUUUUCAUAGCAACUCAGAUAAAGCAAUUUGUUCAUCAAUCGUUGCCAAUAAAGUUUUUCCCAAAUAUUAUUUGGUCAAACAUUUGAUGCAUCAAUAUCAAAUACAGUGACCAUAUGAGAUUUAUCCCAAAUCCCAAUUGGUCAUCCAUAAUACUAAAACAAAUCACAAUGUUAUUCAUCAAUCAAGCCUAAAUCUUAUUUGGCCAAACACAUUACAGAAGAGAAAAUACCAUAACCCUUGGCGCCGAUGGGAGGGUAAGGACCCUCGCUACCAUGGCUACCUAUUAUCACCCAUUAAUAAGGAAACCCCCCCUUACCUUGAAAUUGAGGUUUUCAAGCUUUUCGCUAUGGCUUCCUUGCUCUCCCUCCUCCAAUUUCUUCACUGCCUCUUUUCUCAUAAUUCCCAAACACACUACUAUCAAUCUAGCUUCCCCUCAAACUUU